CAUCGCGGAGGCCGCGCACACGGGGAGGCGGCCCCCCGGGCUCCCUUGCACCCACCCCUGCAUUGGCUGCCUAAAGCCGAGAGACGAACCAGACCGCGACAGGCUGGAGGGGUAUCAAAAUUACACUUGCAGAUGCCCAUGGAUUUCCUUAAGUGGGCCCUUCUGAGAAACCCAGUUUUCUUACCUAGUCUGUGCUUAGAAUUGGCAGAGGCCGUCUCGGUUACCUCACUUCCCCUACAAAUCCACCCUGCUCCUUACCUCUCACCCCUCCUCCUGCUGCCCUGCCCCUCCACUUCCACUCCCUCGGCAGGGGGCAGGGGGAUAUUCUCGAAAAUGCGCCAUCUGCACUGGAGCCUGCCCCAGGCCACCGCACUCCAGGAUGGGGUGGGACCCGGGGUGUAUCGCCGCCGAGCCUCCGCAUGAGGAAGAAAAGGCCUUAACUCACUGCUGCUGCGCCCAGACCACCUGCUCUCGAAGUUUCAGUCUUCCUAAACAUCAGUCAACAAAGAUUUUUGAUUGAUCAGAAAUGUCAGAUUUCCAUCUUACAGCUCUCAGGAUAGGGAGGGAGUACAAAAAGCUUCUGUAUGCUUUGAAGCACACACUUUAUAGGUGUAAAUGAUAAACAAUUCAGAAGGCCUAGAGCUUUUGGGUCCUAGACAGACUUCCGUGCAAGCAAACUUUGGGUUCAUCCUGCGGCCCUCUGCUCUCUGCCCACUUCCCCUGCUUCCUUACUCAGCCCACACAGGAAGCAAACCACAGAGGAGGAGCAUCUUACUGACCCGGGCCCUGGAAGCAGAUUUCGUACUAAAGACACACGAACAAUCUAGGCCAUGAAUGGAUGACAGCCAAACACUACCUCAGAUAAGGAAGCCUCAAGAUGUUAAGUGAAAUGGUCAGUUCCUGCUGGAAAGUUGCCAAGCUGGGAUUUGCUCUCGGGCCAGCCUGACUCCAGAGCCUGAAUGAAUCAAGACUUCCAUUCUGUGCUUCAGUCAAAUCCACUCUUCUUGAUGCAUUGUCUUUUCAAAAAUGUUUUAUUAUGGACACUUUCUACACAUAAAGGAGAGUAGAUUAAUGAUUUCCUAUGUACUGAUCAACCAGCUUCAACCAUUCUUCCAUUCACCAGUCUUAUUUCCUGAUGACCUUUUAAGUAGCAGACCCUCAGAGAAAAAAGGAACACUCUGUAGGCUUUGAGUCCUUGGAGUGG